AUUGAUUGAUCUGCAGAUGGAUUGCAGAUUUGGCAAGUUUAUAAUAAAACAGACAUAGUGAUUUUGUUUAUAAAAAAAAAACAGACAGAGUGAUUUAAAAAAUUUAAAACUUCAUGUGCGAGCCACGUGUCCCUAAGGAUUUAUCUGGGCCCUAUGUUACAAAUACCUCGUACAAAUUGGAAAUCUUAUUUAGACCCAUCAGCCAGCCCACUAGGGCUCUGACAAAUAUGUGGAGCAUUGGGUUGUGGUUUACCUUUUGGUUUACACUUUACACCAGCCCUCUCGCACUGGUGCAGCAGGUUGAUCCAGGGCUGGGCCUGGAUACAAGCCCAUCAAGCAUUUGCUUGAGGGCCGAUCGGUAUAAAACAAGUUUGGGGGCCAAUUCUCAUGAAGAUUAGGUAGCAGAGAUGGUUAAAGAUGCUAUUAUUUGAGUUUCACUUGUUGGGUGCCCUGGGUUCGAGUCAUGGGUAUAGCAGUUCUGGUUCAAAUUUUUUUUUCUUGCUUCUAGCCUGCCAAAUGUCAGGUACGGCCCUGGGUUGAUCAUUAGUAUAUAUUGCUUAAUGACGAUGACGAUGACGAUGACGAUGACGAUGAUGAUGAUGAUGAUGAUUUUUGGAAUUCUUAUAAAAGUGAUAUGUAAACUAUAUUAUGAUAAACAAAUUAUUCUUUUUGUCCGUGAUCUAAGAUGAAUUAGUAACAAUCUUUUAAUUGAGAUGAAUUAGUCACAUAUCUCCAGUUCGAGUUGUAAUUUGGGUUUGUAUAAACAACGGUUCAAAAUGUCUUAUAGUUGCGGAAUAUUUUGUUGGGAUAGCAUCUAAAUAAAUAGAUUAAAAAAUAUUAGAGCACUACUUUAUGCAUUUCUCCGACUCUAUAUAAACCCAUAGUGUUGAGCUUUCAUGUUGAACCACUUGAUCAUACUAAGCAAGUAGAAAGAGAAGAAAAAAAAUGGCCAAGUCGUGCACUCUUGUUUCUCUCCUCUGCAUCUAUUUCCUUCUCUUUUCUUCAACUGGUUUGAAGGCGGUGGUGGAGGCUGAGGUAUGUCAAAGGUACAGCGGUUCCUGGUCGGGAAUCUGCCUUUCGUCGAGCAACUGUAAUACCCAAUGCAUUGAAAGGGAACACGCUAAAUAUGGAGCUUGUCACUCUGAUGACAACGGUUUAGCUUGCUUCUGUUAUUUCGACUGCUAAAGAAUACAAGCGCUUGUGUUCCGAAUCUAAGUUGUUUCUUUCUAAAACUCAAUUAAUAUAUAUGCAUUCUGUCGUUAUUUCCCUUGGCAUCGUUGGUGUUGUGUUUUUUAUUUCUUCCAAAAUAAUACAUAUUAUCAUGUGUAACUGUACCCUUAGAUUUGAACAAUUUGCUUCUGCUUUACGUUGCAUGCGUGAUAUGUACUUAUGUAAUAAAACUUAUCAAUGAGAGUUUACUAUCAUGUGACU